rnacentral:rRNA from 1 species
AAACUUGAGAGUUUGAUCAUGGCUCAGAACGUACGCUGGCGGCACGCCUAAUACAUGCAAGUCGAACGAAGUAGCAAUACUUAGUGGCAGACGGGUGAGUAACAUGUAGGUAUCUUCCCUUUGGUGAGGAAUAACACGAGGAAACUUGUGCUAAUACCUCAUAAGUCUUUACGGAGAAAGCUUUAUGCGCCAUUGGAUGAGCCUGCACUUGAUUAGUUUGUUGGUGGGGUAAUGGCCUACCAAGACAAUGAUCAAUAGCUGAUUUGAGAGGAUGAUCAGCCACAUUGGGACUGAGACACGGCCCAAACUCCUACGGGAGGCAGCAGUAGGGAAUCUUGCACAAUGGGGGAAACCCUGAUGCAGCGAUGCCGCGUGAGUGAAGAAGGCCCUUGGGUUGUAAAGCUCUUUCGUCGGGGAAGAAAAUGACUGUACCCGAAUAAGAAGGUCCGGCUAACUUCGUGCCAGCAGCCGCGGUAAUACGAAGGGACCUAGCGUAGUUCGGAAUUACUGGGCUUAAAGAGUUCGUAGGUGGUUAAAAAAGUUGGUGGUGAAAUCCCAGAGCUUAACUCUGGAACUGCCAUCAAAACUUUUUAGCUAGAGUAUGAUAGAGGAAAGCAGAAUUUCUAGUGUAGAGGUGAAAUUCGUAGAUAUUAGAAAGAAUACCAAUUGCGAAGGCAGCUUUCUGGAUCAUUACUGACACUGAGGAACGAAAGCAUGGGUAGCGAAGAGGAUUAGAUACCCUCGUAGUCCAUGCCGUAAACGAUGUGUGUUAGACGUUGGAAAUUUAUUUUCAGUGUCGCAGCGAAAGCAAUAAACACACCGCCUGGGGAGUACGACCGCAAGGUUAAAACUCAAAUGAAUUGACGGGGACCCGCACAAGUAGUGGAGCAUGUGGUUUAAUUCGAAGAUACGCGCAGAACCUUACCAACACUUGACAUGUUCGUCGCGACUUUAAGAGAUUAAAGUUUUCGGUUCGGCCGGACGAAACACAGGUGCUGCAUGGCUGUCGUCAGCUCGUGUCGUGAGAUGUUGGGUUAAGUCCCGCAACGAGCGCAACCCUCACUUUUAGUUGCCAUCAUUUAGUUGGGCACUCUGAAAGAACUGCCAGUGAUAAGCUGGAGGAAGGUGGGGAUGACGUCAAGUCCUCAUGGCCCUUACGUGUUGGGCUACACACGUGCUACAAUGGCAUUUACAAUAGGAAGCAAGACGGCGACGUUUAGCAAAUCCUAAAAAAAUGCCUCAGUUCGGAUUGUACUCUGCAACUCGAGUACAUGAAGCUGGAAUUACUAGUAAUCGCGGAUCAGCGCGCCGCGGUGAAUACGUUCCCGGGUCUUGUACACACCGCCCGUCACACCAUGGGAGUUGGUUCUACCUUAAGGCAAAGGUUAAAAACUUUGACCACGGUAUAGUCAGCGACUGGGGUGAAGUCGUAACAAGGUAGCCGUAGGGGAACCUGCGGCUGGAUUACCUCCUUU